UUUCGAUUUGGUCGACCAGGAAGCCGAUGGCUCUGAUUAAGAAGCUACGCAAGGCGAAAAGGGAGGCACCACAAGGUGAGAAGCCAGAACCCACCUGAGGAACAUGAUCAUUGUCCCUGAGAUUAUCGGAAGCAUCACUGCAGCGUACAAUGGAAAGACCUUUGACCAGGUCGAGAUCAAGCCCGAGAUGAUUGGUCACUACCUGGCCGAGUUCUCCAUCUCAUACAAGCCAGUUAGGCACUGUAGGCCUGAUGUUGGUGCUACCCACUCCUCCCAUUUCAUUCCCCUCAAGUGAAGAGCUUGGGAACGUGUUUCAUGGUCUUUUUGUUUCUCUAAGUGUGUGUUUGUGGAUCCUCUUUUGUUGCUGCAUAUUUUUUAAGUAUAUAGACACUUUUAUGGCCUGUUUCCAUCAAAUUGCCACCAAUUUUUGUUUUUAUAACAUUGUCUGAUUGUUGGAAUGGUUAGUAGCUUUAGUGAUUUGAUAACUUAUGUGAAUUUUAUUCUGGAUGACUUUUGUGAUCUCAUUCUCAUAUUUGCUUUAGGUUACUUGAUUAAACACCGUCUAUAUAACAGAGCAUUACGGACUAUCGUUCAUAGAAGAUCAGUUUCUCAUAUUUUUUGCAGAGGGACUAUCGUUCACAGCAACAAAAAAUAAUUGAUAUCUACUGAUGUGAAGAAGAUAGUGACACGGCAGUAGCAUUGUUUGCUUAAUAAGAAACGAGUUUUUAUAUGAGCUCAAUAGCUUUUGCGACUGGAAGACGCUUGUUCAACUACUUAACCACUGCUGGUCCAAAGCUUUUGGGUAUGUUUUAUUCUAACUCGUGGAUUAUUUACUAUGACAUAGCAGCUGUUAUAAAUAUGAUGCUGUUCUUUCUUGCCUGAUACAUUUUUAUUAUUUCAUGUCUUUUUUAUAUAUAGUUCUCGUCUUGACAACACUCGGUUCUGUUGUAUCAGCAAGUUGAGAAUUUCAAAGAAAUAGAAGGAGAUUCAUUAAAGUUGCAGGAAUCUAAUAAUCUGAUGUGAUCUUAAAGGGAAACUUCUCUGUCCGAGACUCUGUCACGUUUUUAUCCUCUAACUGUACAACAAGAAGGAUCCAGCUAUAUAAGCUAUAUCUUGUAGGUUGUAGCAACGUAUGAGCCAUCAUUACUGAGGCACAAACUGAUCUCCUUCUCUCAAAUGAAAAAGAUUAUCACUCCCUUGA